UUUUAACAAAUGAACACGAGCUUCUUGAGUUACCUUCUUUCCAAAUAGAAUAGAUCUCAUUAUGAAAAGAUAAAUGAGUUUCAUUAUUAGAGUUUAUUUAUUAAAAUAUGUCUCAUUAAUCUUUUGUAUAUAUCUUUCUAAUAAGUAACAAUAAAUAAAAAUUAAAUAAAUAGAACAAAUCCAAACUCACACUAACAUAUUCCCUUUACUUUAUUGUGCAAGACAAAACACCAUUUUAUAAACUCAUGCGUUUUUCACAUUUGAUACGUAUUAACUUUGGUCCUAUAAUAUUUUCACAACAGAAAAAAAUUAUGAUCAAUCUCUUAGGUUAUAAAUAAGUAUGUUGUAACCUCUUUACCCUUAUUUCUACAAUUAUUUCUAUCAUAUUUCACACUAUUUUUCUCUUUUUGGAUCUACCCCAUUUCUAUCAUGGAAGGCUAAAGGAAAAAUAAAAUAAUAAAAGUUUAGUAAAAUAUUAAUAACCUACAUUUCAUAAUAAUGUUAUUUAUAUGAAUGAUUUUUUGCAACUUUUUGCAAGUGCUAAAAAGUAAAAACAAUAUAAUUGAAAGUAACAAGCCGUGACAUGUUUUACUUAAGUGAUCAAAUAAUUGUUUGUUUGUUUUGUAUGUAAAUUUAUAGUUAAGGAGACAAAGUAUGGUUGAAAUUCUAAAAAUCGUCUAUGCUUUGAUGAUUUUUCUUUCCCUAAUUCUUGUUGUAAUCGGCAAUGGUAUGUACUUUUUGAUAAACACAUUUUAAUUUUAAUUUAUUUAUCUAGCUUAUGUAUAAAAUAAAUCUUUCAUCCUCUACCAAAAUAAAUAAAUAAAUCUUUCAUCCUCUUCAAUUCUAAUUUUAUUUUACAUGCAGGCCUUCGCUCAUGCGAAACUAAUAAGGAUUGUGCGGUUGAGGUAUGUCCCAAUCAUAAAAAUUCAUCGUGCGUAUGGAAAGGAUGUUAUUGCUAUCAAGAUUAUUACUGAUUAAGUUAAAAAUUAUGUCACUGAAUAAUUACACUUUUAGUCUCUUAUCUUUAUUUUAAGUUUUAAGUUGAUUUCUUAUUUUUUUAAAGUUUCAAGUUGAUCCUUUAUCUUUUCCACAUGUUUCAAGUUGGUCCCUACCGUCAAAUUUUUCACUAUUACCGUUAAAUUUGGACAUGUGUCAUAUUUCCAAGUGUGGUUUCCGUUUGCCACGUGUCCAAAUUUAACGGUAAUAGUGAAAAAUUUGACGGGAGAGACCAACAUGAAACCUGCAGAAAAGAUAAAGGACCAACUUGAAACUUUUAAAAGAUAAGAGACCAAAUUGAAACCUAAAAUAAAGAUAAGGGACCAAAAAUAUAAUUAAGCCAUAAUUUUCUUACAUAUUAAUGGGUUGUUUUUUGUUUUGAAGUUCGGUCAUGAGUUAAGUAAGGUCAAAAUUUGUUCCUAUCAAGAAUUAAGCAUAGGUUAUCUCCAAACAAUUCAUCUUAAGAGAAACGUAGUAGUACAAUAAUUUGAUUUAUAUAUGAAUGAAUUUUUUCUUUGAUAAAAAAAUUGUAUUCAGUUUAUAUACAAUGUUAGCAUAUUUUCCAACUAUUUUAUCUUAAGGAAUUUAGAAUAUUGAGUAAAAAAACAAAGGAAUUUAGAAUGUAAUGUACUUAUUUUUAGAAUGUAAUGUACUUUUUAAUACACUCUUCUGAUAUAUUUUUUUAAUGGAUAGUUAAAAUUCAUAUAAAUUUUUUGUAUAGUCUAACUCAACUGACAAUAUUAAUAAUAUUAAGCUGAACAUUUUUAUUUAGACCUUACUUUUGUGUGAAUGUGUGGUGCUUUCCACUGUUUAUGGACAAAAAGAUAAAUAUAAAUUAACCAUUAUUUUUCCGAAAAAUAAAUUGAUAUAUAAUAAUUUGCAUGGAAUAGCCUUGAUUGUUGUUUUAAAACAAAAAUUAAUAUAAUUUACUAGUAAUUUAAUUUGGAUGCACAAUGGUUCAUCUUUAUUCUAAAAUAAUUUUAUCUCCGAUUUUAAAUAUAUAAAAAAACUGAGUCAACAAAAGUUAUUAAUAUAUUUAAUCUAAAUUUUAUAAGUCAAAUAUAUUAAUUUUUGUUAUUUAAUUUUUUCUUAUAUUUAUUUAUAAAUGAAAAUAGUAAUUAACUAGAUGCAUUGAAUGAGGCAUUCUCAUAAUUUCUAAAUAAUGGGGGCAUUUUUCUCAUUUAGUUUGAAGGACAAGAACAUGCAGUUCACAAUGUGACCGGUGUGGGUGCCCUUGAUGUUAUAGUAUCCCACUACCAAGCAUGAUGGAUUAUAAGCAACUUGCAAAGAAUGAUGUUAAGUUUCACUUUCCCUUUGACCAUAAUAAUAAUUAAGAUGGGGGCAAACCACCAUUUCUUGGAAGUAGCUCACAGUUUGUUUUGAUCUGUUUUAAGUUAAAAAUUGAUCCGAUCCAAAAAUAAAUUUAUUUGUGGUUUGGUUCGAUUUUGAGUGACA
rnacentral:lncRNA from 1 species